ensembl:lncRNA
CUGAAAGAUACACAUCCAUGUAAAUGUUAUAAUAGUACAUGUCUAGCUUGUCUUUCAUUUAUGCUAUGAAAGCAUCAUCUCGCCAAAUCCUCUGUAUUGUGAAAUCUGAUUUUGUAUCAGUCACAAAGUCACACCAGUGUAGACCAGUACCUGCAAGCUGACCUUGUACCUGCCAGUAGUACUUAGGGGUCUCUUUAAGUUUGGCUAGUCCUCUUUGAAUUUUCAUAAAUGUAACCUGAGUAAUGCUGUCAGCAGAUGUGCUUUUUACCUCCACUAAUCCAAAUUGGAAUGUUUCAGAUGGAUCGUGCACUUAAAAUAUAAUAUAUCAGACACCGCUUACCUCCUUUUGCCAUCAAUCAACCAUUAUAUACCACUUCCUCUGAACCGCGUGCGUGUGACGUCACCUGGGGCAGGGCAACGCGAUACUCCACCUGAGUCCAUUUUGUAUGAUGCCUUUUUGUCUGAGUCCGUUUCGUCUGAUGCCUUUUUGUCUGAUGCAUUUUAGUCUGAGUCCGUUUCAUCUGAUGCUUUUUUUGUCUGAGUCCGUCUGUUUCGUCUGAUGUCUUUUUGUUUGAGUCCGUUUCGUCUGAUGCCUUUUUGUCUGAGUCCUUUUUGUCUGAUGCCUUUUUGUCUGAGUCUGUUUCGUCUGAUGCCUUUUUGUCUGAUGCCUUUUCGUCUGAGUCCGUUUCGUCUGAUGCUUUUUUUGUCUGUGUCUGUCUGUUUCGUCUGAUGCCUUUUUGUCUGAUGCCUUUUUGUCUGAGUCUGUUUGGUCUGAUGCCUUUUUGUCUGAUGCCUUUUAGUCUGUUUCCAUUUCGUCUGAUGCCUUUUUGACUGAUGCCUUUUCGUCUGAGUCCGUUUCGUCUGAUGCCUUUUUGUCUGAGUCUGUUUCGUCUGAUGCCUUUUUGUCUGAGUCCAUUUCGUCUGAUGCCUAAUUGUAUUAGACCUGACAGCUUUUUCCUGAGACCUGAAGCUUUUCAGUCUGAGGCGCGAUGCCAUUUUGUCCAAUGACCGAAGCCUUUUAAUCUGAGGCAUGACGCCUUUAUAUUUAAGGACUGAGGUCUGAGGAUGUCCUAAA